GAUGAACGCUGGCGGCGUGCCUAAUACAUGCAAGUCGAGCGAACGGACGAGAAGCUUGCUUUUCUGAUGUUAGCGGCGGACGGGUGAGUAACACGUGGAUAACCUACCUAUAAGACUGGGAUAACUUCGGGAAACCGGAGCUAAUACCGGAUAAUAUUUUGAACCGCAUGGUUCAAAAGUGAAAGACGGUCUUGCUGUCACUUAUAGAUGGAUCCGCGCUGCAUUAGCUAGUUGGUAAGGUAACGGCUUACCAAGGCAACGAUGCAUAGCCGACCUGAGAGGGUGAUCGGCCACACUGGAACUGAGACACGGUCCAGACUCCUACGGGAGGCAGCAGUAGGGAAUCUUCCGCAAUGGGCGAAAGCCUGACGGAGCAACGCCGCGUGAGUGAUGAAGGUCUUCGGAUCGUAAAACUCUGUUAUUAGGGAAGAACAGAUGUGUAAGUAACUGUGCACAUCUUGACGGUACCUAAUCAGAAAGCCACGGCUAACUACGUG
rnacentral:rRNA from 1 species